UUCAGAGCUCAUACACAGUGCUUUUCCCAAGAAUCUACAUGCUGAUGUAAAAUUGCAAAUUCUGUUUCAUCUUAUGAGUUCUUCAUUGGAUGUUGAAGAAGUUUAAAUUGUAACUGUUAUAGUUUUAUUUGUGAUGUUUAGUAUUUAAACGAGUGCUGAUGUUUCAUAGGACUUUUAAAAUGGUUUUUACUUAUCUUAAACUGGGAUCGUCUUCAACAGUACUGCAGCACUGUUCACACAGUUUUUGAAUGAGAAGCUUGGCUCUAAGUGAUGCAUGUCCCUUUAUGUAAUUUUAAGUUUGAGAUAAUGUUUUGCAAGUAUUUUAAGAAAGCUUAAGUCUAGCUAUCCAACUUUCAGGCUCAAAAUAAUCAUCCUUUAACACAGUCUCACAUUGCAAUAAGUCUAAUUUUCUUGCAUAGAUGAGGGUACAGUUCAGGGCUUUAACAAACAUUGAUGGAAUAGAAUGUCAUUUGUUUACACAUCUGACAGCAAAGGGGUUAAAAUGUAAAACCUGUACAUACAGACUUCAAGCACAGUGACCAAGCACCCCUUUAAUGUUUUGUUAUGUGUGAAGAUAGGGUAUUGGAACAUUUGAGCUGUUCUUUUAAAAUGAACCAUACUAUGUAUGGGUGUAUGUAAAAGAAAGCAUUACAUUAUGGUGAAAUGAACAUGAACCAAAAGUGCAGAAAAUACCUUGACCACAAACACACUGUAUCUUAAAUUCUGUGCCAUUAAAGGGAUACUCCAAGAACCAUAAACGUCAGUGUUUGGAUUGUUCAUGGUGCUUGCAGUCUGUAUCUCAGCAUAAAACACUGAACAUACAGAGAUAUUUUAUAUUGCUGUCGGACAAGUAAUUCCACCUUCGCCAGCAUAAUCACAGUACCGUUAGCAAGCAAACGCGAGUUCUGGGCUAAUAUCAAACCUAUGCAUAUUCCAUGGAAAGAAUGUCAAUCAUUGCCUGAGAAAGCUCAGCUGAUGCUUUCCAUCAGUAAAUAACUGGCUGGAUUGGCACCAAACUUGCUAGUCAUCCAAGACCAGAAGAAGCGAGAUGGGACCCAGGUAAUAUUGCAAAAUGGUUUGUCCUGUUACUGGGGAACUGGCCAGACUGCUCAUAGUAUCAUAACCAAUACAGGGGGCUGUAGUGGUUGUAAUGCUUGGAGUAGCCCUUUAAGGAAUUAUAGGAUAUCAUGGUUGAUCAUAUCAAAUGCCUCUGUAUAUUAAGCAAAUAGCAGCAAGGCUGGAACAGAUAUGUUACUGUAGUUCACGAGAUCUAGAACUGAAAUAUAUCAAUCAUCUUGGGAAGCACUAGUUAAGAUAUUAUUUUGAUUUAUUUUGGACAGGGUUCUCUCCAAAGACUAGGUCCACAAAGUAAGCAUAGGAUGAAUUUCCAUGCAGAUUUCAGAUUUCCUUUUCACAUAUGAACUGAAGAGCGCGGGAGCAGUGAGCAUCAUUCCAGCCACCAUCUGGGAAACGCUGGCCGCAGUCCUCUCCGCCUUCAUAACCAAUUUCAUGGUAAUCAUCAGGUUG